rnacentral:rRNA from 1 species
GACGAACGCUGGCGGCGUGGAUUAGGCAUGCAAGUCGGACGGUAGGGCUUUAUCGUAAGAUAGAGUUUGAGAGUGGCGAACGGGUGAGUAACACGUAGGAAUCUACCCUUAAGACGGGGGACAACCCAGGGAAACUUGGGCUAAUACCGGAUGAGAGUGCGAGAGAUUGCAUUUAAAAGGAUGGCGAAAGUUGUCGCUUAGGGAUGAGCCUGCGGUCUAUUAGUUAGUUGGUGAGGUAAGAGCUCACCAAGGCGAUGAUAGAUAGGCGGCCUUAACGGGUGGUCGCCCACACUGGGAUUGAGAUACGGCCCAGGACUCCUACGGGAGGCAGCAGUCGAGAAUAGUCUACAAUGGCCGGAAGGCUGAUAGUGCGACGCCGCGUGAACGAGGGACGCCCGUUCGGGGUGUAAAGUUCUUUUCUAUACGAGCAGUGCUAUAUAUAUGGAUAGUAUAUAUAGAGGGAUAGUAGUAUAGGAAUAAGCAACGGCUAACUCCGUCCGAGCAGCCGG